AACGAACGCUGGCGGCAUGCCUAACACAUGCAAGUCGAACGAGACCUUCGGGUCUAGUGGCGAACGGGUGCGUAACGAGUGGGAACCUGCCCUUAGGUUCGGAAUAACUGCCCGAAAGGGGGGGUAAUACCGGAUAAUGUCUUUGGACCAAAGAUUUAUCGCCUUUGGAUGGGCCCGCGUUGGAUUAGCUAGUUGGUAGGGUAAAAGCCUACCAAGGCGACGAUCCAUAGCUGGUCUGAGAGGAUGAUCAGCCACACUGGGACUGAGACACGGCCCAGACUCCUACGGGAGGCAGCAGUGGGGAAUAUUGGACAAUGGGCGAAAGCCUGAUCCAGCAAUGCCGCGUGAGUGAUGAAGGCCUUAGGGUUGUAAAGCUCUUUUACCCGGGAUGAUAAUGACAGUACCGGGAGAAUAAGCUCCGGCUAACUCCGUG
rnacentral:rRNA from 1 species